UACUUUUUUACUUUUUUUUGUUGUUGUUGUGUGUUUUGUUUUUUAGUUAAUUUUUUUACAUUUACAUCAGCCAACAGCGGCUUCCCGCAUGCGCGAUUCAUUUGCAGUCUGGACAGGGAGGGGUGAACAUCUACUCUGGCUGCAGCUGGGAGGGACUGCUGCGUGAGGUCUGGGCCACCUGUGAGGCUUUGGGACGGCGGUGGGGCCCACGGCAGCACCCGCUGCAGCACCCGCUGCAGCACCCGCUGCAGCACCCGCUGCAGCACCCGCUGCAGCACCCGCUGCAGCACCCGCUGCUCGUUGAGAACAACUGCCAUUUUGGACCUUAGAAAAGUCAGGAACCACUAUCAGAAAACGUGAUUAAUUCCAGACCCUCUGGCUGUUGCACAAGUGGAUUACUGCCUAAUGACCAGUGGGACCUGGCUGGAGUUCAAAUUACGUGUCUGAUCAAAAUGACUACGGUGUUCAGCCUGUUGCACCUGCUUGGAUUCUCUAGGCUACUACAAUAUGUUCACAACUAUGGAGGUGUGAGCACAUUUUUUUGUUAUUUUUUGUUCAUUUCUUUAUCAAGGUUUGGUAAUUAUUCCAUAGUUAGGUCAUUGUGCCAUGCCAUUUAGAUAGAUAUAAGCUUAGUUUCUGGUUUCUUUCUGCAUAUUUUCCAACUUCAUGGCAGCAUAUACACACUAUAUUGUAUUGUUUCAUUUAUAUUUUUAUGUUUCUUAUUAUUAUUCAGCAUUUUGUGUUUAUCUGCUUGUAUGUUUUUCAUAGUAUUUGUUCAGGCCCAUAGAUUGACUGUGUCAUGUAGCAGUGCUCUAGUUCAGGCACAUGAACCUCUCCAUCCUACUGACGUGUCAUUAGAACUGCCACCCUCAGAACAGCUGGGUCACCCUCAUGAACUGCCACCCUCAGAACAGCUGGGUCACCCUCAUGAACUGCCACCCUCAGAACAGCUGGGUCACCCUCAUGAACUGCCACCCUCAGAACAGCUGGGUCACCCUCAUGGACUGCCACCCUCAGAACAGCUGGGUCACCCUCAUGAACUGCCACCCUCAGAAUAGCUGAUCACCCUCAUGGACUGCCACCCUCAGAACAGCUGGGUCACCCUCAUGGACUGCCACCCUCAGAACAGCUGGGUCACCCUCAUGGACUGCCACCCUCAGAACAGCUGGGUCACCCUCAUGGACUGCCACCCUCAGAACAGCUGGGUCACCUCAUGGACUGCCAUCCUCAGAACAGCUGGGUCACCCUUGUGAACUGCCACCCUCAGAACAGCUGGGUCACCCUCGUGAACUGCCACCCUCAGAACAGCUGGGUCACCCUCGUGGACUGCCACCCUCAGAACAGCUGGGUCACCUCAUGGACUGCCACCACCAUGGAUGGUCUGGUGGUAAGAACACAGCUCUUAGAUUUCACUUGGAUUUAAACUAAAUUAAUUAGGUAGUGUUGGAAAGUUACUUGAUUUAUGCAUAUGAUUUUAUUGUUGCACAUGGAAGGGAACACUAGCGCUACCUUGCUAUCUUGUCUUACUUUUAACAACAACAUAAGCACUUUUUUUGUCGUCCACUGUCCUCCAAGAGUUGUUGAAUUUCCGCUUCACUUGUGAUUUUAUUCUUGCCAGGACAAGCCGAUCUCCAGACAGUAUGCCAAGGCUAUGUUGCGACCUUUGUGUCACAUGACAAAUUAUUUUAUUGUGAGCAUGAUGGUUGGAAGGUACAUAUUUAAAUGUCCAGGUUUCGCUUAUCAGUUUAUUAUGAUGAUUGAUGCAGAUGCAUUCAUAUAUUAUUUUAACAGAUAGUAAGUAGGUCUGGGAUUUGCCAGGGACCGCACAAUACGAAACUAUCACGAUACUUAGGUGCAAAUACUAUAUGUAUUGCGAUUCUCAGGAUUCUAUAUGUAUUGCGAUUCUCAGGAUUCUAUAUGUAUUGUGAUUCUCAGGAUUCUAUAUGUAUUGUGAUUCUCAGGAUUCUACAUAUAUUGUGAUUCUCAGGAUUCCAUGUGUAUUGCGAUUCUCAGGAUUCUAUACGUAUUGUGAUUCUCAGGAUUCUAUAUGUAUUGUGAUUCUCAGGAUUCUAUAUGUAUUGUGAUUCUCAGGAUUCUACAUAUAUUGUGAUUCUCAGGAUUCCAUGUGUAUUGCGAUUCUCAGGAUUCUAUACGUAUUGUGAUUCUCAGGAUUCUAUAUGCAUUGUGAUUCUGAGGAUUCUAUAUGUAUUGCGACUCUCAGGAUUCUAUAUGUAUUGCUAUUGGAUGUUCCAAACAUAUUUCUCAUCAUGUGUCUUGGUGCAAAAGGACAAGAGAGCCCUGCAAAAGGACAAGAGAGCCCUGCAAAAGGACAAGAGAGCCCUGCAAAAGGACAAGAGAGCCCUGCAAAAGUUUUGAUCAGUCAUGGAAAAAAAAGUUGUGAAAAUAAAUUGGCUCCCUCUGUAGAAAGAAGAUGGAGAACAAGCUAUGAAGGAAAAAUACUGGAAUUUUGUUGCAGGUACAGCCAACUAGCACAAAGCGAAACGAUAUGUCGUCAAAAAUAAUAUCCCGAUAUGUAACUAUCACCUCCCCCAUCAGAUAGUGUGAUAUGUAUGCAUCAUUAUUUGCAUUCUGUUUUUGUUGUAUUGGUCUAGGGUUGAAUAACCAUGGAAGUGUAUAUACAACCCCCACCAGAGGGUGGUAGAGACUCACAAUUUCUUACACUUUCAAACAACUGUUCUGUUCAACACAAUAAUCUGAAGGAGUACAUGACACACCACCGUCUGCCUGGCAGCCAUUACCAUAGAAAGUGGUUUCAUGACAAGGCCAU